UGAGGAACAUGACUUUCGGCGGGGGAUAGCCGGCCCAACGGCCGGGUAAUACCGCGUACGACCACAUGGGGACAUCCCUGAGUGGUGAAAGCAGCAAUGCGCCGAUGGAGUGCCUCGCGGCCUAUCAGCUAGUUGGUGAGGUAACGCUCACCAAGGCGACGACGGGUAGCCGGUCUGAGAGGAUGGCCAGCCCACAGUUGGGACUGAGACACGGCCCAGACUCCUAGGGAGG
rnacentral:rRNA from 1 species